rnacentral:miRNA from 1 species
UGGGUUGACCAAAAAGUCUGUUUGGGUUUUCUAUAACAUCUUAUGGAAAAAGCCAAAUGGACUUUUUGGCCAACCCAAU